UGUGUAUUAUUUAUACAUAAAUCCACUACAGAAUAUUGACUGUAUCUACAGCUUUGAAGUAGUUUGUAUAUAUGAAUCCAACAGCAGAAGCCUUAGGGGUUUGCCAUACAAUAUCUCCGUCUCUUUGCUCUGCUGAUCAUAUACAUAUGUAUGUCACAACCCCAGUGUUUACCUCAUGCUUCUGCUGUUCAGCUGUAGUUGUGUUACUGCCCCAGUGCUUAGUGAUUUUCAGACAAAGGAAAUCCCAGUUAUCAGUCGCGUCCACCCCCUGCAGCUCCUCUCCUGACGGGCCGAUCGAUGGCUCCUGAAAUCAAUAGGCUUAUUAAAGCUGCGGUUGAGUGAGGAACAAAGCUCAUUAUCCUGACUCUGUCUCAGAUCAGCCUGACUGGCAGAAGAGGUCACGAGGAGAUGUCACAGGUCACGGCGAGCCGCGAAUUACGCUUUAGCCUGAACAUUUUGACAUGCACCCAAUGACUGCCAUAGAGAGAGAGAGUCAUGUGACCCGGCAGAAAAAUUCAAUUAGAGCACGGAGGUUACAAGUUCUUGGAAACCGAAGGGAUGACAUUUUCAGCAACCUCUGCCAAACCCAUUUGACCUGAAGUACCCCCUGGUGUUUUAAGGGCUUGAAUUCUUACUGCCACAUGUGGAGGAUGGCAUGAGACACUGCGCUUCUGUCCGAGAGAGAGCGUGUGUUGAGCGAUGGAGAGCUGAGGUUGGAGGAGAGAGCGGGUCACCUAGAGGUUAAAAACAGCCCAGAGACACGUGGCACGCCCGUAGGGUUAUUAAAGGCGGUUUACACGAGUCCUGUGAAAGAGGUAUUCAUUAACCGAGAUGUUUACAUGGUGACUAAAGCUGAACGAUUCUAUCAGUUCAACUCAACUCGAGCUCAGUGAAACCAUUAAUGGUUUACAGCAGCGACUGCAUGAUGACCUAAACGAAUGACUGCAGUGUUGAUGCCCUUGGCGUCCUUCAAACUGAUUAUUCUGAUGUAAUGCAAUCACACUUAAUGAAUAAUUCACUCCAAAAUGAAACUUUUGUAAUUAUUUACUUGUCCUCGUGUCAUUGCAUGGAAAAGAGUUGCUUCAGAACUUCGGGUUUGGAUUGUUAGGGUACGUUUACACCACAGCGAUGUGCUAAAAACAGAAAAGUUUUUCUUAAAACUUUGUCAAAAUGAUCCUUGUUAAUGAGAAAAAAGCUUAAAACGCUGUAUAAUGCAAUGUCAGGCCAGUAGUAUGCGAUGUCAUUUUAUAAAGAAACACAUGACACAGAUGUGUAUGAUGUCACCGUUUUCACUAAUUGAGAUUUUGUAGUUUACAUUAAGAUGAUAACGGUAUUGUUUUUAAAAGCUUGCACUUUGAAAUCCGUUUUCAUAAGUUUGCAUAUUCAGAACAAAUGCAUAGAAAGUUUUCCAUUUUUGAUUGAAAAUUUGUAGUUUGUAGUACUGAUGUUCACCAAACUAAUGGGUUAACUGAUUUGGCUUGGGUUAAUUAGUGUAAACAGGUGAUGCUGGUUAAUUAGAGCCUUAAAAAACCCUUUGUUUGAGGUGCUUUGGUAAAGAAAUAAGCAGGAGAGAAUGAGUGUGAAUAUCUAGAGAUUGUGUUAGAAAAAUCAAGAAGUAAGGGAGACAGUGCUUUAGUUCUUCUGGGGUUUUAUUGUCUUUAAAGACAAAGACUUAGAAAUCUAUUCUUUUGAGUUUAUUUAUUAUUAUUUAUUAUAUUAUUUUUUUUUUUAAGGAUUCAGUUGGUAUGUGAAUGAAGGAAAAUGUCUCUAUUAGUUGAGCUUCAAAAUCUUUAGUUUUGGGACUCAUAACUGCAUUUAAUGCAUAUAUUGAAACACUAGAAUUGAACUAAACUCUUUUAAAACCUGAACUAGAUAUGUUCAAACAGGCACAAAAUCUAAUUUUUGAGA